rnacentral:rRNA from 1 species
GACGAAGGUGGCGAGCGUUGUUCGGAAUCACUGGGCAUAAAGCGCACGUAGGCGGCGACGUAAGUUGGGUGUGAAAUCCCUCGGCCCAACCGAGGAACUGCGCCCAGUACUGCGUUGCUUGAGGAUCCAAGGGGUGCAUGGAAUUCCCGGUGGAGCGGUGAAAUGCGUUGAUAUCGGAGGAACUCCGGCGGCGAAAGCGGUGCACUGGUGGAUUACUGACGCUGAGGUGCGAAAGCCAGGGGAGCAAACGGG